rnacentral:rRNA from 1 species
AUUGAACGCUGGCGGCGUGCCUAACACAUGCAAGUCGAGCGGUAACAGGUGUAGCAAUACAUGCUGACGAGCGGCGGACGGGUGAGUAACGCUUGGGAAUCUGCCUAUUAGUGGGGGACAACCCGGGGAAACUCGGGCUAAUACCGCAUACGCACUACGGUGGAAAGCCGGGGACCGCAAGGCCUGGCGCUAACAGAUGAGCCCAAGUCGGAUUAGCUAGUUGGUAGGGUAACGGCCACCAAGGCGACGAUCCGUAACUGGUCUGAGAGGACGACCAGUCACACCGGAACUGAGACACGGUCCGGACUCCUACGGGAGGCAGCAGUGGGGAAUAUUGGACAAUGGGCGAAAGCCUGAUCCAGCGACGCCGCGUGGGUGAAGAAGG